rnacentral:sRNA from 1 species
UGAACACGUAUAAGGGAACUUUACUAAAGAGAAAUGAAAAAACAUCUCUCCAAAGUUUAGAUUUUGAGUGGGUUUUUAUUAUCUAGGCCCUACAGGCGAGUGUAUGUAAAAUAGAUCUGCAAUUUGUUUUCUAACCAGCCUUCCAGAAACACAUUUCACAAUAAGCUUCCUGAUUUAGUUUUAACUGAAAUCAUCACAUCCGUGUUGUAACAUGUUAAGAAAGGGAAUUAUCGAAAAACAACAUCAUAAGUCAGUUACUUAUUUUCAAACGUUGGAUUUCAAACGUCUCAUUUAACUUGAUUUUGAAAUAUGCCAACAUUAAAACUGUAUAAACAAGUCAUUAAACUCUUAUUGUACCUAGUUUUUCUUGCCCGAAACGCUCUCCAUGGAGAGGCUCAAGAAGUUGAAGCUGUUAUUAGCGUACAAAUUCAUUUUUCAAGUUCCUACUCAAUAGCUGCUGACAUAAGACAUGAUAUAUAUAGCAAAUUUCAAGAGGACUUGUUCAACAAAAAAGUUUCGACAAUUACUUUAAAAUAUUUGUAUUCAAGUAAUCCCUACAUAAACAGCAUUGAAACAAUGGAAGAUCAAUAUCCGAGAGAAAAUCUUUAUUCUACGUGUUUUGUAAAUCCUAUACUCUUAAGC